rnacentral:rRNA from 1 species
UGUAAGCGUAUACCAGAGUUGUUGCAGUUAAAACGCUCGUAGUCGGAAUUUGGCAGUUCCGGAUGUGUGCACGUCGUGUGCGCACUUUGCGGGGACUGCUUUUGUGGUCUUGCGUAGGAUGAGGCACUUUCAUUAGUGAACGUCCUCACGCAACCACUCUUUACUGUGAGAAAAUCAGAGUGCUCAAAGCAGGCAUUUGCCGUGAAUGUAUUAGCAUGGAAUAAUAGAAUAGGACUCGGUUCUAUUUUGUUGGUUUGUUGGGACUGAGUAAUGAUUAAGAGGGACAGUUGGGGGCAUUUGUAUUCCGGCGCUAGAGGUGAAAUUCUUAGAUUGCCGGAAGACAAACUGCUGCGAAAGCGUCUGCCAAGGAUGUUUUCAUUGA